UACGUAGGGUGCAAGCGUUGUCCGGAAUUAUUGGGCGUAAAGAGCUCGUAGGCGGUUCGUCGCGUCGGCUGUGAAAUCCCGAGGCUCAACCUCGGGUCUGCAGUCGAUACGGGCGGACUGGAGUUCGGCAGGGGAGACUGGAAUUCCUGGUGUAGCGGUGAAAUGCGCAGAUAUCAGGAGGAACACCGGUGGCGAAGGCGGGUCUCUGGGCAGUAACUGACGCUGAGAAGCGAAAGCGUGGGGAGCGAACAGG
rnacentral:rRNA from 1 species